AAUUGUCAGGUUUUUUAAUCUUAAAUCUGAACGUAAUAUUAUUUACUUUUUGUUUUAUCGUAUUCAUGAGUUUAUUUGAUAAUGUAACACUUGAUUUUGACGGUAAGUUGUCUUUAAAUGGACUCAAUGUUGAACAACAACAAAACCAGGAAGAUAAUUUGUGAAGAUGAUUAAAGAUUGAUCCAAUUGUGUCAAGGUAGACUAAUGCCAAUGCUAUAUUUGGAUUACUAUUAAUACCAAUUUUACUUAAUUUCUUCCUGGCUAACAGCAAUCAUUUCUUGAUUAGUUAACAAAUUUUAAUUGCUUAAGGCUUUCCCUUAACCAUUUUCAGUGAAAGUGAUAAUCACAAUUACCAAUUCAACAUUGACCAAAACAUUUAUAUCAACCUUGUAAACUGGUUCACUAGUUAACCUUGCGAUCGGCAAUACACACAGAAAAUUUGCUUCAUCAAUCUUGUGCGACGCUGGAAUAUCUUGUGGUUUUUUGUGAUGGCGUAGCAAAAGUGUUUGUUUCCCAGCGUUACUUUGAAUGUUUGAUUAGAAAUUGGUAAAUUUAUUGAGCAAUUAGAGUUGACUUGUCUAAGAUAAUAAAUUCAAUCAUUUUCUGAUGUUCAUCUGUUAAACAAUCAAUCCGAGGUAAUCAUUGUUAACUUAUAAUGCUGGUUCCCUAGUGCACUUGUCAAAUUAACGUCAAGUAUCUCAUAAAUAGCUAUUGUUUUCACUGGUCAAACAUCUUCACCACUCAUCAUGGGACUUCAUCAUGGACUGUAGUUUUUCAAUUUAUCUCUUGGUUUUCAUCGCCCAAUUGAAAAAUAUUCAAAUUUCUUAGCCUUUUUUGACAAAAUUUUCCUCGUAUUGGAUCAUGUUGGCAAUGUUAUUUUCUUGAAUUACAAUUCUGAAUGUUUUCCUUUUUUAAUUCAAAGACUUGUAUUAUCCGAUAAUCAACAUUCAUUAAGCAAUGAAGAUAAUGAUUUUUAAAUGUUAGUUGUUUACGUAAAUGUCCAACAGCGAUAUAUAGAUUGAUGAUCAGGAAAAUUUACAAUGUUAGUGUAUUUUGAAAGCAAUGAAAGCAACUAGCAUUUAAA